AGUGACAUUGAGUUCCAGUGUGGAGGUGACAGUGAGUCCCAGGGUGGAGGUGACAGUGAGUCUCAGUGUGGAGAUGACAGUGAGUCCCAGUGUGGAGGUGACAGUGAGUCCCAGUGUGGAGGUGACAGUGAGUCCUAGGGUGGAGGUGACAGUGAGUCUCAGUGUGGAGGUGACAUUGAGUCCCAGGGUGGAGGUGACAGUGAAGUCCAGUGUGGAGGUGACAGUGAGUCCCAGUGUGGAGGUGACAGUGAGUCUCAGGGUGGGGGUGACAGUGAGUCCCAGUGUGGAGGUGACAGUGAGUCCCAGUGUGGAGG
rnacentral:lncRNA from 1 species